GACGAACGCUGGCGGCGUGCUUAACACAUGCAAGUCGAACGGAAAGGCCCUGCUUUUGUGGGGUGCUCGAGUGGCGAACGGGUGAGUAACACGUGAGUAACCUGUCCCUGACUUUGGGAUAACUUCAGGAAACUGGGGCUAAUACCGGAUAGGAGCUCUUGCUGCAUGGUGGGGGUUGGAAAGUUUCGGCGGUUGGGGAUGGACUCGCGGCUUAUCAGCUUGUUGGUGGGGUAGUGGCUUACCAAGGCUUUGACGGGUAGCCGGCCUGAGAGGGUGACCGGCCACAUUGGGACUGAGAUACGGCCCAGACUCCUACGGGAGGCAGCAGUGGGGAAUAUUGCACAAUGGGCGGGAGCCUGAUGCAGCAACGCCGCGUGCGGGAUGACGGCCUUCGGGUUGUAAACCGCUUUCGCCUGUGACGAAGCGUGAGUGACGGUAAUGGGUAAAGAAGCACCGGCUAACUACGUG
rnacentral:rRNA from 1 species